GCCUUCGUGAUGUAUGGGUCAGCACGCUAGACGCGUAUUCCAGCGAUCCGUGGUUCGAGUCCCGGCGAAGGCG
rnacentral:tRNA from 1 species